rnacentral:rRNA from 1 species
AUGGGUUUUGUGGUAAUAGUUGUCUUUCUAUGCCUCUUGAAUUCAACCUACUACGUUCGUCUAGCCGCGUUGAUAGAUGCACCUGGCAAUCUACUAACCGAGAUAAAACACGCAACUCUUGUGGAGCCACACCAUUUUGACUUGUCUAGGAGGAACAGAUUUCCUUCUGGAGAAUACCAAGAUAACAUUGUUUCUGGGGUAGCUGUGUGGAGGACACAAAUAGGAAAAUACUAUGGUCUCCGAGCUAAAAUAGGUGUGUGGGCUCACCCGAAUCAAAAACAUUCUCAAGAAUCUGGAGCAUCCAUAUCUGUUGGUGGAAAAUUUGGACCCAUGCUCAGCCAAAUUGAAGCCGGGUUUCAUGUUUUUCCUGACCUGUAUAACAACAGUGAUGUUCGCUUCUUUACGUUUUGGACUAGGGAUGGAUAUAAAUCAACAGGAUACUAUAACCUAAAAUGCAGCGGAUUCAUUCCUGCUAAAGGAGCUGCACUUGUUCCGGGUCAAGCAGUUGGUCCUCCCUCAACAUAUGAUGGAGAAGAUCACCACAUCACAAUUAGCCUACACACGGACCCUAAUACAGGAAACUGGGUAUUAUAUCGGGACGACCUAGAGAGGCCUUCUUUCCUAGGGCAUUUUCCUAAAGAUCUUUGCCCGGAGUUGAAUGGUGUUGCACCCCAAGUAUUAUUUUCUGGGUUUGCGACUUAUCCAAGGAAUGGCAGAGGGCCGGCAAUGGGCAGCGGGCAUUUUCCCGUGGAAGGUGAAAGAAAAGCCGCAUACUUUAAGAACAUGAAGAUAUUCGACUCAAAUGCUAGUGCUCAUGAUCCUAUUCCAAGCAUCAUGGUCCCUUUGAUGAAUAGGCCGGACUGCUACAAGUUGGGCGACAUUCCUCUUGGAGUAAAGAAUAGUUAUUUGUUCUAUUAUGGUGGGCUUGAAGGUUGUCAUGGUUGA